UACGUAGGGUGCAAGCGUUAUCCGGAAUUAUUAGGCGUAAAGAGCUCGUAGGCGGUCUGUCGCGUCGGCUGUGAAAAUCCCGAGGCUCAACCUCGGGUCUGCAGUCGAUACGGGCAAACUGGAGUGUUGCAGGGGAGACUGGAAUUCCUGGUGUAGCGGUGAAAUGCGCAGAUAUCAGGAGGAACACCGGUGGCGAAGGCGGGUCUCUGGGCAACUACUGACGCUGAGGAGCGAAAGCGUGGGGAGCGAACAGG
rnacentral:rRNA from 1 species